AUUAGAUACCCUGGUAGUCCACACAGUAAACGAUGAAUACUCGCUGUUUGCGAUAUACAGCAAGCGGCCAAGCGAAAGCGUUAAGUAUUCCACCUGGGGAGUACGCCGGCAACGGUGAAACUCAAAGGAAUUGACGGGGGCCCGCACAAGCGGAGGAACAUGUGGUUUAAUUCGAUGAUACGCGAGGAACCUUACCCGGGCUCAAAUUGCGGAUGAAUGUUUUGGAAAGGUUAUAGCCCUUCGGGG
rnacentral:rRNA from 1 species